rnacentral:rRNA from 1 species
GACGUAGGGGGCCAGCGUUGCUCGGAAUUACUGGGUGUAAAGGGUUCGUAGGCGGUGCGGCAAGUUGGGAGUGAAAUCUCUGGGCUUAACCCAGAGGCUGCUUCCAAAACUGCUGUGCUCGAGUGUGGGAGAGGCGCGUGGAAUUGCAGGUGUAGCGGUGAAAUGCGUAGAUAUCUGCAGGAACACCCGUGGCGAAGGCGGCUCUCUGGGACGGUACUGACGCUGAGACGCGAAAGCGUGGGGAGCGAACAGG